rnacentral:rRNA from 1 species
UGGAAGGCUCGUCCGCUCAGGGUUAGUCGGGACCUAAGCCGAGGCCGAAAGGCGUAGGCGAUGGACAACAGGUUGAUAUUCCUGUACCACCUCCUCACCAUUUGAGCAAUGGGGGGACGCAGGAGGAUAGGGUAAGCGCGGUAUUGGAUAUCCGCGUCCAAGCAGUUAGGCUGGGAAAUAGGCAAAUCCGUUUCCCAUAAGGCUGAGCUGUGAUGGCGAGCGAAAUAUAGUAGCGAAGUUCCUGAUUCCACACUGCCAAGAAAAGCCUCUAGCGAGGUGAGAGGUGCCCGUACCGCAAACCGACACAGGUAGGCGAGGAGAGAAUCCUAAGGUGAUCGAGAGAACUCUCGUUAAGGAACUCGGCAAAAUGACCCCGUAACUUCGGGAGAAGGGGUGCUCUGUUAGGGUGCAAGCCCGAGAGAGCCGCAGUGAAUAGGCCCAGGCGACUGUUUAGCAAAAACACAGGUCUCUGCGAAGCCGUAAGGCGAAGUAUAGGGGCUGACGCCUGCCCGGUGCUGGAAGGUUAAGAGGAGCGCUUAGCGUAAGCGAAGGUGCGAAUUGAAGCCCCAGUAAACGGCGGCCGUAACUGUAACGGUCCUAAGGUAGCGAAAUUCCUUGUCGGGUAAGUUCCGACCCGCACGAAAGGCGCAACGAUCUGGGCACUGUCUCAACGAGAGACUCGGUGAAAUUAUAGUACCUGUGAAGAUGCAGGUUACCCGCGACAGGACGGAAAGACCCCGUGGAGCUUUACUGCAGCCUGAUAUUGAAUGUUGGUACAGUUUGUACAGGAUAGGUAGGAGCCUUGGAAACCGGAGCGCCAGCUUUGGUGGAGGCAUCGGUGGGAUACUACCCUGGCUGUAUUGACCUUCUAACCCGCCGCCCUUAUCGGGCGGGGAGACAGUGUCAGGUGGGCAGUUUGACUGGGGCGGUCGCUUCCUAAAAGGUAACGGAGGCGCCCAGAGGUUCCCUCAGAAUGGUUGGAAAUCAUUCGCAGAGUGUAAAGGCACAAGGGAGCUUGACUGCGAGACCUACAAGUCGAGCAGGGACGAAAGUCGGGCUUAGUGAUCCGGUGGUUCCGCAUGGAAGGGCCAUCGUUCAACGGAUAAAAGCUACCCCGGGGAUAACAGGCUUAUCUCCCCCAAGAGUCCACAUCGACGGGGAGGUUUGGCACCUCGAUGUCGGCUCAUCGCAUCCUGGGGCUGUAGUCGGUCCCAAGGGUUGGGCUGUUCGCCCAUUAAAGCGGUACGCGAGCUGGGUUCAGAACGUCGUGAGACAGUUCGGUCCCUAUCCGUCGCGGGCGCAGGAAAUUUGAGAGGAGCUGUCCUUAGUACGAGAGGACCGGGAUGGACGCACCGCUGGUGUACCAGUUGUUCUGCCAAGGGCAUCGCUGGGUAGCUAUGUGCGGACGGGAUAAGUGCUGAAAGCAUCUAAGCAUGAAGCCCCCCUCAAGAUGAGAUUUCCCAUUCCGCAAGGAAGUAAGAUCCCUGAAAGAUGAUCAGGUUGAUAGGUCUGAGGUGGAAGUGUGGCGACACAUGGAGCUGACAGAUACUAAUCGAUCGAGGAC